rnacentral:rRNA from 1 species
GACCAGCGGAGGGAUCAUUACCGAGUUUACAACUCCCAAACCCCUGUGAACAUACCACUUGUUGCCUCGGCGGAUCAGCCCGCUCCCGGUAAAACGGGACGGCCCGCCAGAGGACCCCUAAACUCUGUUUCUAUAUGUAACUUCUGAGUAAAACCAUAAAUAAAUCAAAACUUUCAACAACGGAUCUCUUGGUUCUGGCAUCGAUGAAGAACGCAGCAAAAUGCGAUAAGUAAUGUGAAUUGCAGAAUUCAGUGAAUCAUCGAAUCUUUGAACGCACAUUGCGCCCGCCAGUAUUCUGGCGGGCAUGCCUGUUCGAGCGUCAUUUCAACCCUCAAGCACAGCUUGGUGUUGGGACUCGCGUUAAUUCGCGUUCCUCAAAUUGAUUGGCGGUCACGUCGAGCUUCCAUAGCGUAGUAGUAAAACCCUCGUUACUGGUAAUCGUCGCGGCCACGCCGUUAAACCCCAACUUCUGAAUGUUGACCUCGGAUCAGGUAGGAAUACCCGCUGAACUUAAGCAUAUCAAUAAGCGGAGGAAAAGAAACCAACAGGGAUUGCCCUAGUAACGGCGAGUGAAGCGGCAACAGCUCAAAUUUGAAAUCUGGCUCUCGGGCCCGAGUUGUAAUUUGUAGAGGAUACUUUUGAUGCGGUGCCUUCCGAGUUCCCUGGAACGGGACGCCAUAGAGGGUGAGAGCCCCGUCUGGUUGGAUGCCAAAUCUCUGUAAAGUUCCUUCAACGAGUCGAGUAGUUUGGGAAUGCUGCUCUAAAUGGGAGGUAUAUGUCUUCUAAAGCUAAAUACCGGCCAGAGACCGAUAGCGCACAAGUAGAGUGAUCGAAAGAUGAAAAGCACUUUGAAAAGAGAGUUAAAAAGUACGUGAAAUUGUUGAAAGGGAAGCGUUUAUGACCAGACUUGGGCUUGGUUAAUCAUCUGGGGUUCUCCCCAGUGCACUUUUCCAGUCCAGGCCAGCAUCAGUUUUCCCCGGGGGAUAAAGGCGGCGGGAAUGUGGCUCUCUUCGGGGAGUGUUAUAGCCCGUCGUGUAAUACCCUGGGGGGGACUGAGGUUCGCGC